rnacentral:rRNA from 1 species
GUAGGGAAUAUUGCGCAAUGGGGGAAACCCUGACGCAGCGACGCCGCGUGAGUGAUGAAGGCCUUCGGGUCGUAAAGCUCUGUUGCAGGGGAAUAAAAAAAUGAAGGUACCCUGUGAGGAAGGAUCGGCUAACUUCGUGCCAGCAGCCGCGGUAAGACGAGGGAUCCUAGCGUUGCUCGGAAUCAUUGGGCGUAAAGAGGGCGUAGGUGGCUUGGUAAGUCAGGUGUGAAAGCCCAGGGCUCAACCCUGGAAGUGCAUUUGAUACUGCUGAGCUUGAGUGUCGGAGAGGUUACCGGAAUACCUGGUGUAGUGGUGAAAUACGUAGAUAUCAGGUGGAACACCGGAGGCGAAGGCGGGUAACUGGACGAACACUGACACUGAGGCCCGAAAGCGUGGGGAGCAAACAGGAUUAGAAACCCGAGUAGUCC